rnacentral:rRNA from 1 species
CCUACGGGUGGUAGCAGUGGGGAAUAUUGCACAAUGGGGGAAACCCUGAUGCAGCGACGCCGCGUGAGUGAAGAAGUAUUUCGGUAUGUAAAGCUCUAUCAGCAGGAACGAGACAAGACGGUACCUGACUAAGAAGCCCCGGCUAACUACGUGCCAGCAGCCGCGGUAAUACGUAGGGGGCAAGCGUUAUCCGGAAUCACUGGGUGUAAAGGGAGCGUAGACGGCUGUGCAAGCCUGAAGUGAAAGGCGGGGGCCCAACCCCUGGACUGCUUUGGGAACUGUACGGCUGGAGUGCAGGAGAGGUAAGUGGAAUUCCUAGUGUAGCGGUGAAAUGCUUAGAUAUCACGAAGAACUCCGAUUGCGAAGGCAGCUUACUAAACUGCCACUGACAUUGAUGCUCGAAAGUGUGGGUAUCAAACAGGAUUAGAUACCCCAGUAGUC